rnacentral:rRNA from 3 species
CACUAUCGUUAACUGAAUACAUAGGUUAACGAGGCGAACCGGGGGAACUGAAACAUCUAAGUACCCCGAGGAAAAGAAAUCAACCGAGAUUCCCCCAGUAGCGGCGAGCGAACGGGGAGCAGCCCAGAGUCUGAAUCAGCUUGUGUGUUAGUGGAACGGUCUGGAAAGUCCGACGGUACAGGGUGAUAGUCCCGUACACCAAAAUGCACAGGCUGUGAACUCGAAGAGUAGGGCGGGACACGUGGUAUCCUGUCUGAAUAUGGGGGGACCAUCCUCCAAGGCUAAAUACUCCUGACUGACCGAUAGUGAACCAGUACCGUGAGGGAAAGGCGAAAAGAACCCCGGCGAGGGGAGUGAAAAAGAACCUGAAACCGUGUACGUACAAGCAGUGGGAGCACCUUCGGGUGUGACUGCGUACCUUUUGUAUAAUGGGUCAGCGACUUAUAUUCUGUAGCAAGGUUAACCGUAUAGGGGAGCCGCAGGGAAACCGAGUCUUAACUGGGCGUUAAGUUGCAGGGUAUAGACCCGAAACCCGGUGAUCUAGCCAUGGGCAGGUUGAAGGUUGGGUAACACUAACUGGAGGACCGAACCGACUAAUGUUGAAAAAUUAGCGGAUGACUUGUGGCUGGGGGUGAAAGGCCAAUCAAACCGGGAGAUAGCUGGUUCUCCCCGAAAGCUAUUUAGGUAGCGCCUCGUGAA